CAUAGCCAAAUAUCCUUAUCCACUUCACAAAUGCCUACACUCAGCUUAUAGUUCCUUGAGACAAUACCUACAAAUAUUAACAUCUGGGAGUCCCCAAUUUAAAAAAUGA